rnacentral:misc_RNA from 1 species
CGCACAUUGCGCCCCUCGGUAUUCCGGGGGGCAUGCCUGUUCGAGCGUCAUUACACCACUCAAGCCUGGCUUGGUAUUGGGCACCGCGGUCCCGCCGCGCGCCCUAAUGUCUCCGGCUGAGCCGUCUGUUCUCCAGCGUUGUGGUUACAUCAUCCGCUGCCGGGACACGACGGUUCAUCGCCGUUAAACCCUUUUUUCUUAAGGUUGACCUCGGAUCAGGUAGGGAUACCCGCUGAACUUAA